CCAUGUAGAGUGGAGAAGGGAGCUGGAUGGAGCGUGCCUUCCUCCUCCGACGUGGAGUGCGAGGUACCUCAAUGGGUUGUUGUCGCAGCAAAUGGCGGAGUUCAGGCUCCACCUCUAGGUGCUCGUCGGCGCCGCCAUCGUGCUCCUGCUCCUCCUCAUCUUCGUCUGCCUCUCCCGUGGCCACCGCCGGCGUGAAGACUUGAUCGCGGCCAACCUCUGCAUGGUCGCCGACGGCAGCCUCGUGCAGAUGCCGGAGCACGGAGCUGGCCUGACCAUGGCGACCAUGGGGCGGCCGAGCAUCAAUGGCUGGACUCUGGAGCAGCAACCAGGCGGGAGACGAACUGCAAUGUCAGAAGCUCCCGGAUCCGAACAACAGACAUGCCAAUGGAAAAUCUUGAUACAGGCGAUGGGGAUCGAACAACAGUUGUGCACAUCAUGAUUCAAAGUUGGAUUCUUGCAUCAACCUGAGGCUUUUGAAAAUUGAUCACUCAGUCUCCUGCCUUGGUUCAUGUUAUUGGUAUAUUCAGUCAUGAGUCUCUUAGGCUAGGAACCAAAAUGGUGUCUUUGAUGUGUCAGGGAGUUCAAGGAGGGCAAUCACGUCCAGCUCACAUAGCUUUUUCAGAAGUAUAGCAACAAAAGCUACAGAUGGAGCGUUAGUUGAUUGCUUUGUUUGUAUUAUUUCCUUGAAUUAUCUUCUUAUUUCUCUCCUGCUUUUAUAAUCGCUACGGCUCUGACUCUGAAAUUUUAUAACCCUGUAUGUUUUUUUGUAAGGCAUCUGACUCUGAAAUUAUUACAACAAUCCUAUGUUUGUUUGUAAGGCAUUACUAGCUUUAAGUCAGAUGUGCAGUUCUGCUUCAAGUGGAGAGAAAAGGAUACCAUAGUUUUGGUGUUUUGGUCUUGGAAUUCAUCGAAUGAAAUACCAAACCUCAAAUAUAAAUUCUCAGCCGGGAGGAAUAGGCAAUUUGAAUCUAUGGUUGACGGGAAUCAUGAUGGCGAUUCCUUAACGAAGCAAGAAGAGAUUGAGAACAAUACAACAUUUGUGGGAAAUGUCAUUAGCUGUCAUGAAUUGCUGGUAGGGAUGUGGUAGCAUGUGAAGCUGCUUAUUCAGAACCAGGAUGAAAUGACCAAGGCUUGUAGGCUGCCAGAGCCAUACAAGGGUACUGGUGACUGAUUUAAACGCACCAUCAAGGAUGAGGGUUUCACCUCCUUGUGGAGGAGGAACACUGCUAAUGCUAUUCACUAUAUCUCUACUCAGCUGGUUACAGUACGCCGAUGUACGCGCUCUCGGCUUCUGGGGCCAUCGAGUGCUGUGAAGAAGGAUGAUGUCAUUGAAGUCAAUUGUGGGAGACAUCCUUACAUGUCUUCCUUCCAGUGGGGAUCAUUCUAACGGGUUCUCUCUUGCUAGAAGGGAUGUGUACAAUUUCACUUAUCAAGUUCCAUUCUUGUUUCAAAUCUGUAUAUAUGGUUGACACUAAAAAUUCUUUUAUUUUGAUCUGUAUCCUUCGUUAUCUUGAACUAUGUUGUCGAAGAUUAGUGCCUGAUAAUAUAUCUGUAAUUAAACAGGA